rnacentral:rRNA from 1 species
GACGAACGCUGGCGGCGUGCUUAACACAUGCAAGUCGAACGGAAAGGCCCUGCUUUUGUGGGGUGCUCGAGUGGCGAACGGGUGAGUAACACGUGAGUAACCUGCCCUUGACUUUGGGAUAACUUCAGGAAACUGGGGCUAAUAACGGAUAGGAGCUCCUGCUGCAUGGUGGGGGUUGGAAAGUUUCGGCGGUUGGGGAUGGACUCGCGGCUUAUCAGCUUGUUGGUGGGGUAGUGGCUUACCAAGGCUUUGACGGGUAGCCGGCCUGAGUGGGUGACCGGCCAAAUUGGGACGGGAAUACGGCCCGGACUCCUACGGGAGGAAGCGGUGGGGAAUAUUGCACAAUGGGCGGAGGCCGGAUGCAGCAACGCCGCGUGCGGGAUGACGGCCUUCGGGUUGUAAACCGCUUUCGCCUGGGACGAAGCGUGAGUGACGGUAAUGGGUGAAGAAGCACCGGCUAACUACGUG